GCCAUUGCAGCUCCGUGCCGGGGGCGCCAGCACCGGCCUCGCAGCUCCCUCGCCCGGCCGGGGAGGUAAACAAAGUGAAAUAUCCUUCCGCGGCCCGGGGCCCCGGGCGCAGCACCCUGGGUGUCGGCUGCGAGCCGGCUGCGAGCCCAGCUGCGGGCGGCUGGGCCGGGGUUACCAGCAGCGACUCCCGAGCCGUUCCCCACACGCUGCUCCCGCAGCGCCCGCUCCAGCUCUUCGUAGCUCGUUCAUGUUCCUGGCGCUUUUCCCCAGAAAGCCAGGCACGCUCUGAGCAUUGGGCCCCCAGGCUCAGAUGUGGCCCUGAAUGAGGAGCUCUGUUUUGGAAGAAUGCGCUUUCAUCGGUAUUGCUGCCUGGAGUUUCGAGAAUUCGUUUCAUGGUAUCUCUCCGACAUCCUCCUCUCCAUUUAAAAGGAAAUCCAUUGCUUCCUUUUAGUUGGUGUCACCGCUUGCCCCCGAUCCCCACAUCCUGGGCUUGUAUUUCUAGUGUUUUCAGCAGAAGAGGAACUGAAGGCAUCUUUUGAUUCAGGUCAAAUUUAAUCACUAAUUCUUCCCUUCCCAGUGCAUUGCCUGGAGGGCCUUGGAGGCCAAGCUAGACAAAACUUUGCACCCACACCUCCAGGGAGCGCUGUUGGGUCCUAUCCAGGGUGCUGGGCGUCCUGAGUCCUCUUCUGUUAGCCAGGUGAAGGCUGCAGUUUCACGCCCCACUCCACCCCCCAUUUCGCCACCCCCCCCGAAUUAUUCGUAACUUCCUUGGGAGAUUCCAGUCCGCGGGCUUGGACAGGAACACCGGAAGCAAGGGGCUUGAACUCAGGCAGAGGCUUCAAACGCCAGCCUUGAUCUAAGAUAUCCUGGUGAAUGAGAAGCGAUCUAGUAGAGGACAAACUUAAAAAAAAAAAUCCCAAGGAACUGAGAAAGGGGAGUUGGGACGACUCCUGGAGCCCUCUGAGCUUUUGCAUGCGUGUAGUAUAUUUUCCACUGGAGGAGGGGACUAAAUUAUUGUCCACUGUAGGACACUUUCAGUAAAAGAAGGGAGCUAUUUAUAAUUAUGUCCACUUGGGACAACAGUCACUCUAAUGAUCAGGAGUCCUGGGAAUGUGGCCAGAGAUGGAGAGGACAUUGACUAUAAAGCUUCCACCCAGCAGCACAGAGUUAAAAGGAAGGUUAAGAAGUGGACCCGUGCCUUCCAGCACCUCUCACCAUCCUACUCCCCACAAACCUGCCUAGGAUUCAGUCCCAGAUCCCAGCAGAAUAGAUCUAUUUCCCUAGGCGAUCACCAGGACCACUGACCGAGCAGGGUCCCCUAAUCCAGUCUUACCCCAGGAAGACACUUGGCCUGUGUUAGGAACAGUCUCGAAGCAACCCCUGCUGUUGAGUCAGAAAGAGAGGUGCCUAGCCUCCUCUAUGCAGUGGCCAAGAGAGCUUUGUAAUAAUUAGGGGUUGGGACACCUGUGUGCUAGCCCUGGCUGGGUCUCUGAUUUCAAAUGGAAAUUGGGUGAAGACCUUGUUUUUUCUCCCUAGAUCCCUGUUUCUUCAUCUGUAAGAUGAGAAGCAUAAUACCCGCCCUGCUCACCUCAUGUGGUUGCUUUAGAAUUAUAUUUUCAAUUCCAGGAAAUCUAUGAAGGCUUACUAUAAGCCGGGCUCUGUGCUGAGUGUUAGGGAUCCAAUAUGAGUAAGAUCUGGUCUCUGCCACCCAAGAGCGCAGGGUCUAGCCCGGCAGAAAGACUGGGAAACAAAUAAUGUCAUUGUGUAACAAUGUGGCAAUUAGAAUAUCAAGGCCUCAAGGGAGCAUGGAGGAGGGAAUGACUUUUCCUGAACGUCAGGGAGUUUUCCCAGAAAAUGUGAUUUUUAUUACCUUGAACUAAUCCAGAGCAAAUAUUUAUUGAAACCUACUAUGUGCCAGACACUGGAUAUGAAGAUACAAUGAUUUGAAAAAUAUAUUUCCUGUCUUCAUGGACCUUGAAAUAGCCCUAUGAGUCAUAAAAUAAAAUGAAUAAGAGAUUGUUGUUGGCAUUUCAGGCAGAGGGAAGGAAUGUGGAAAAGCAAGGGAGUGGGAUGUUCUGAAAUUUCUAGUAAUGCACCAUGUUCCAGCAGUGGCAGCUGGGAGCAGUGGCCAGGCAUGUGGCUGGCAAAGUGGACUGAUUGGGAUUAGAUCGGGAAGGGGUUGAUAGACACAACUAGCAACAGUGGUCUUCCUAGUAGAGGAGAUGGCGAAGCACGGCUGACAUUGGGAAGUGACACGGUCGUUUGUGGGAUUUAGAUCCUGCUGCAGAUCACAGGGAGUAGAUACUACUGGGCUUCCAAGGAAAGAGAGAGCAGAAAUAGUAUAAACCUCUAGUGAUGCUGUACAGGAUUAAUAGUGAAUUUAUGACUUGUGAUGAAAUUACACAGUGGCCAUUCUCCUGCCUGUCCUUGAAGGCCAAAUUCAUGGCUUAGUGCUAUGUUUGUUGAUUAAAUUCACGGAGCUAUUGCAGUGCAGGAUAAAUUAGAUAAUUUGUAUCAAGUGCCUUAAAUAUUUGUUAUGUCUGUUAACUCGGUAAUUCUUAGCAAAUUGGAAAAGAAAAAAGCAUGUAGUAGGAAGAUCUGGGUGGGGAUCUUUAUUCAUUCACUUUUUAGCCAUAUGACUUUGGUCAAGUUUGGAAUAUUUUAAUCUAUAAAGUGAAAUUACAAUAGAAAUUUUGUCUUAAUGUAUAGCAAUUAUGGAAGAUGUGUAUAAAGCAUCUGGCACAAUGUCUUGCCUAUAAUAAAAACUCAAGGCCGGGUGUGGUGGCUCACACCUGUAAUCCCAGCACUUUGGGAGGCCAAAGCGAGCCGAUCACGAGGUCAAGAGAUCGAGACCAUCCUGGCCAACAUUGUGAAACCGCGUCACUACUAAAAAUACAAAAAUUAGCUGGGCAUGGUGGCACAUGCCUAUAGUCCCGGCUACUUGGGAGGCUGAGGCUAGAGAAUUGCUUGAACUUGGGAGGUGGAGGUUGCAGUGAGCCGAGAUCACGCCACUGCACUCCAGCCUGGCAACAGAGCAAGACUCCAUCUCAAAAAAAAAAAAAGCAGCCGUUACUAUUUUACUAUUGUUGUUGUUGGAAUUCAUCCACAGAAAGCAAUCUAACAUGAAGUAAUAGUAAUAGAUAACAUGUUUACAGUAUUGGCAAGGUGUGUGGGAGUUGUUAAACAUAGUUAUAAGAAUGGUCCUAUACAGUAUGCAACAAUAAUAAAAUAUGUGGCAAUUAAAAAAGGAUUAUAUAAUUACAAGGGGAUAUAUUUAAACCAGUCUACUCUGCAGUAGGACAAAUCCAGUUGUCUUGGGUCAGUAACAUGUUGUGCAUGUUUUCUAGAACAUUCUUUAUUCUGCAAUAUAUUUAGCUGCUCCUUCACUCACUCAUUCACUUUAUUGCUCAUUAGUUCAUUCAUUUACAAACACACAGUGGGCCUCUGCUAAAUGUGAAGCCCUAAACUAAGUGCUGUGUGUGUUGAUCAAAUAAUAAUAAAUGCUUUUGGAGAAGAAACCAUAAGACUACUAUAUCACUUUAAGGCCUUUACCAUAUGUGACAACAUUUCCCGUGUUUCAACUCGGGCAGCAAGUCAUGUGUAGGCUCAAAACUAUUUGAUAAACUUCUAGUUUAAGUUGUAGAGAGUUUCACGUCAUGCUGAUGUGCACGCAGACUGUGGCCUGCUGAACUCCAGAACAUUCCAUUCUCACUGACAGCUCUGUGAAUGAAACCCUGAAGUUGUGCAAAAUGCAGUUGUCCUGGUCUGUUUGGGCUGCUAUAAUAAAAUAUACGCUGGUGGCACAUAAACAACAGAAAUGUAUUUCUCACAGUUCUAGAAGCUGGAAAGUCCAAGUCGAGGCAUCGGCCCGUUUUGUGUCUGGUAAGGGCCAGAGUCCUGGUUCAUAGAUGGCACCUUCAUACUGUUCUCACGUGGUGGAAGUGGCAGGACAGCUCUCUGGGGUCUCUUUUAUAAGGACACUAACCUUAUUCUUGAGGUCUCUGCCCUCAUGACCUAUCACCUCACAAAGACCUCAUGUCCUAAUACAAUCACGUUGGUGAUUAUGUUUCAACAUGUGAAUCUGGGGGGACACAAGCAUUCUGACCAAGCAGCUGUUAGAGCCUUAGACAUAAACCCAUUGGCCUGAAAUUCAGGAACUUCCCAACAACUUCGUCUCUCACUUUUGGUUACCUACCGGCCAGCUGCUCAUCACCCCAUGGACUCCAGGCUCCUACUUUUGUGUUUAUGACUUGGAUCAUUUCCUCCUGCGUAUUUGGUGCCUCCAUGUUUCCCUGGAAUCUUUUCCAGGAUGUUCCCUUCACCUGGCUGCACUCCCUCAGUUCAAGGUUACAUUCCCCAGUUCUCUUAUUUGGCUAUGUGGAUGUGUCAGGUUUUAAAUGACAUGUUCAAAAUCCAGGUGACAUGGUUGUGCUUGGACAAUAAUGAAGAGGUUUGUGGUGUUAAUGCCUGAGCUCCAAUCUAGAUACUCCUGAUGAUGGAAUCUACAGAUUGCCUAGUGUCAGUCAGUAAAGGUAGCCAAGAAGAUAAGUGCUCCCACUUACUGCUUCAUGCAAGAUUUAACCAAUCCAUGAAUGGGAAACCCAAUCAGGAUACAUCCUGCUCUGUAAUGUUUUAGAAGGUGCCAUAUCUUAAACUGAGUCCUUCACCAUUGCCUUAGUUCUACUGUUAGUGUUACAUUACUUUGCAUUCAAUUUCAUACUCCCUUGCUGCCUUCCUUGAAUGUUCUGCUAACUUAUGAAGAGGUUCUGUCAUCCAUUUGUGUAGGUAGAGAAGAAGGAAGAGGUUCAGGGAAGAGGUGCACACCUUCAUAGCUGCAGCCACUGGUCCACGUGAUCCACAUGAUCCUUUGCUUUGAAGAUAGUCAUGCUGCCUAGCUGCAUUUCGGUGGUGAUGGAGUCAGUGACUUGCUGCUAUGCUUUGGCUCGUGUUGACUGUGUUAACUCCUUGUCAUAAAUUGCCCCAUCACUUUGAGAAUAUUCUCUGUUACUAACUUUAAUAAUAGUUGUAUUUUAAUUAUGCCUUUUGAAUGCUAGACCAGCUACUUUCUUUCUCUCUAGUUCUUAUACAACCCUUUGAAUUAUUACUCCAUUUUAUGGAUUGAGGAAACAGGACCCAGAGAGACUAAUUAAUUUAUUCCAUGGUAGCCCAUUACUCAGUGGCCCUGGAGGUCAUGUGUAUGUGCAUGUGUGUGUAUGUGCAUGUGUGUGUAUGUGCAUGUGUGUGUAUGUGCAUGUGUGUGUAUGUGCAUGUGUGUGUAUGUGUAUGUGUGUAUUGAGAAGAAAGGGGGCAGGAGAAAAGUUUAUUCUGAAACUAUAUGAUUAUUUUUUACUAUAUCACAUUACUUGUCAUUAGGCUUUCUAGAGUUGACUGAACCUUUGGAUUGAAUGGCCCACGUAAAAUCCUUCCAUAAUGGUGAUUUCCAUUCUCAAUUUUUUUAACAGCUCGUGUUGGAGAAGCAGCUGCUUAUUUACAAGGUAUUUUUUAGUAGUACCUAUUAAAAGGUCACCUUUUAGAUGUCACCUUUUUAUGCAGAUGUACUUCCCUGUUUUGCAGUGGUUGAUGUUGUAUUUACAUGCAAUUCUACUCACAGGGCCCCAAUGCAUGAUCCAAUCAUUGUCUUCGAUUUAGAAUGCUAUUUGGACACAGUAGGUCAUAGAGGAGGAAAAGGGACACAAGGAGAAAGUGCAGGGGAGACAAUAGGGAGUGGCAGGAAGGAGAACUGUAUCAUACAAAAAUUGCAGGACUUUCCACUUGAGUGACCUAUGCCUUUUUGCUUGUUUGUUUGCUCACUUGCUUACUUUACCAUGGCUAGGCUGGGGAUGUGUUUUUGUCUCUGGAUAAAUUGUCCACUGGGAAAAGACCAGGGUAUAAAUACAGAAGAAAUAGUAAUAUUAGCACCACUUCUUUCUAGGCCCUGGUUUUGUAACUCUUCUUCUCAUACAGGAAAAUAGCUCUUGUGUGCUCACAAGUGAAAUGAGAUACAAGAAAAUUUUGUUGUUGUUCUUAGAGUAGGGUGGGAAACCCAACAUAUGGGAAUUUUCUGAGUGUUGCAAAUUGCCUACCGUCCUGUUAAGUAUUGCUGAGCAGCUAAUAAAAAAAGUAAAAACAGGUAAAAUGAAGCAGCUAGUCCAGGAAGUGCUACAAAUUUACAUAUUAUGUAGAGUGCUAGGUUACUGUAAAUGAUUCCAUUUGAAGGGUGUUCUGGUAAAUCUAGUGCGCGUUCCCACACCUAGCACACAGACCUCAAAGGAGCAGACAGACCUGGGUCCAGACCACCCCUGGUUUCACAAGCUUCAGAGGCCUUGAAUGGUAUUUAACUUCCCUGACCAUCGUUGCUCUUGGAUGGAAUGGAGAUAAUAAUACCUUCCUUAUGAAGAAAAUAGGCAAAAUCAAAUUAUCACUUAAGAUUCCCUUCAGCUUUUACAAUAUAACCUUUAGUGUGGGAAAAUCAGGCAUGUAACAAGUAGACCAAUAUCUGAACACCGAUGCAUUGAGAUUCCAUCCAAUUUGGGCACCAAAUCAAUCAUCAACUUGGCCUUGGAUGACCCUGAGAACUCAGAUUAAGGUUGAAGAGAAUUAAUAUGUGUACCAGGCUUGCCAAUUUAACAAACACCCUUAUGCAUUUUGUCUUAUUUAAUCCAAACAACAACUCCUUAAAAGAGGUUUUGUUAUUAGCCUCAGUAGAAGAAACCUGCGUCUCAAGGAAUUUACUAGCCCGUGAACACAAACCUGGUCAUUCUAGUGGAAAAUCCUGCAAUCUUUGUAUGAUACAGUUCUCCUUCCUGCCACUCCCUGUUCUCUCCCCCUGCACUUUCUCCUUUUGUCCCCUUUGCUCCACUUUUUAUUACCUUCUGUGUCCAAAUAGCAUUCUAAAUCUAAGACAAUUUUUGGAUCAUGCAUCAGGGCCCUGUGCAUGGAAUUUGAUGUGAAUGCAACAUUAGCCAUCGCUAAACAGGAAAGCAUGUCUGAACAAAAAGGUGACAUCUGUAGGAUAGUGGUUUCUGAUUUGUGAGUCCUGGAUCCUCAGGUGGACUGUAGUAGAGCAAGUGUAGCAUGGAGUCUCAGCUCUAUGUAAAGUAAUCUACUCAGUAGACUAUGGAUGGAAUAAACAAUCUGGCUCACCCAUAUCUCCACAUUCUCAUUACAAAUAUUUACACCUGCUUUUGUGGUUAAUAAAAUACAAAAAUGUAGACAAAUAACAGAUUUCAUAUUUUUUCAUUUAGGCAGUUAAAAACUAUAAUUUCUAUACUCUGGACAAUAUGAAAUUUGAUAUCAUUCAAAUUUCACAUGAUUCAAUAAAAGAGCUUACUAACAAAUGUGAGUUAGACAGGAUUUUGACUCCAGGAAGUAAACAGCUUUCUAAAUGGCACAGCUGCUCAGUGACUCCAAGGUGUGAUCUCUGACAGACCCUGGGGAAACCACAUCUAGAAAAAAGCUGAAUGCAAAAGUCAACCAACUAUCAUUAAAUAGGCCAAGCAUUUGCCUGAGUACUUCCUCUGAAGUUCAGUAGCUGUAUGGCCUUAGGUAAACUCUAUAAUAUCCUUAAAUCUUACUUUUGGCUUCUUUAAAAUGACACAAUAAUAGUACAGACCUCAUAGAGUGAUUGUCAGGUUUAGAUGGUCCACAGGUAAAGUGCUCACUUUCUGUCUGGUUGGCAGUGAGUGUAGGCUCUUACCACCACCACGGCCAAUAUUAAUAUAAACACAUUAGUUAAACUUCUCUUUCUCCUCCUGUGAUGGUUAAUACUAGAUGCCAACUUGAUUAGUUUGAAGGAUGCCUAGAUAACUGGAAAAGUAUUGUUUUGGGGUGUGUCUGUGAGGGUGCCAGAGGAGAUUAACAUUUGAGUCAGUGGACUGAGAGAGGAAGACCCACACUCUAUGUACGUGGGCACCAUCCAAUUGGCUGCCAGCCCCGCGUGGCUAAAACAAAGCAGACAGAAUAAGGUGGAAUAAGCUGGUUUUCUGAGUCUUCCGUCCUUCAUCAUUCUCUCGUGCUAGAUGCUUCCUGCCCUUGGACAUCAGACUGCAGGUUCUUCAACCUUUGGACUCUUGGACUUGCACCAGUGGUUUGCCAGGGGCUCUCGGGCCUUUGGCCACAGACUGAAGGCUUCCCUACUUCUGAGGCUUUUGGACUCAGACUGAGCCACCACUGGUUUCCUACCUCCUCAGCUUGCCGAGGAUCUAUCAUGGGACUUCCUUUACCUUGUGAUAGUGAAUCAACAAGACUUUCUUACACACACAGCGUGACCAUAAGUGGAGAGAGAAAUGUGCCAGAGUAAAGACAGCCAUACAUACUUGACACUUCUCCCAUUAAAAAGUGGAGUCUAUUUCCUUCCACUUGAAUCUGCACUGACCUGAGACUGCUUGGACCCAUAGGAAAUGGCAGAUAUGACAUAUGGCCAGUCCCAGGCUUUGCCUUGGAGAGACCUAGAAACUUCUACCAUAGUCUCUUGAAGCUUCGAGGUGGCAGGAAAUAAAUCCAACCAGCUACCUGGCCGGAGAAAUCAGCAGGAAAGGCCCCAAGAAUAUGUGAAGAAGGAGAUGGGCCUGGUAGAGCCCAGGCUUCCAACCAACUGACAAGACUCCAGGCAUGGUAAUAAAACCAUCUCGAUACUUCUAGCAGCAGCAGCAGCAGCAACCAACAGAACAUCACUAAGUGACCCCAGUUGUGCCAUCUGCCCCAGUUCCUGCUGCACAAAACCAUGAUAUAAAGAAGUGGGUUAUUUUACAUCAGUAAGUAUUGGGUUAGUUUUAUACUCAGUAAUAAAUCAAGGGAGCAUUUUACAACAGUUUCCCAGAAGAUGGGCACAAUAGUGGCCCCACAGGGUGGGGUGAGAAGAGUUGCUGAAGCCUUAGCAUGAGACUCUCCCAGAAAUCCCUUUUUUUUGAUUUUCAGAAAGCCCUGAUGCUACAGUAAUAAUAGCUAAUAUUUCUUAAUUGCUAUAAAUAUGGCCUUAUUUCCUGCCACUUUGGGACAUGCAUUAUACUCACUAGUAACUGAUGCUUAUGCCCCUGGCUGCUGGGAAUAAAUAUUCUUAUAGCCGCUAUAAAUCUUGCUGAUCAUUCAAGAUUCCUCUUGGGUACUGGCAACUUCAGGAACUUUCAUGUUGACCUAAGAGUCUCUCUACUUUUCAUAACUCUAUCUUAGCCAAGUUGUAUUUUGUUGAAAUUAUCUCUGUUAUCUCCACAAGUUUCUAUUUUCCACUGGUAAGAUGGUUGAAGAUACAGAUUGCAUCUUCCUCAUGGUUGCAUGUAUGUACAAUUUUAACAGAAUCUGCACAUUGUAAAUGACCAACCUAGCAUUUGCAUAUUGUAUUACAGUUUAUAAAGGGUUUUCAUGAUUAUCCCUCUUGAACAGUUGAAUUGAGGCUCAGGGAGGAAAACGACUUUCUUAAAAUCCCUGGGUCACAGGGGCUCCUCACUCAGAGGCUUGCUAAUUUUCUCCCCCACAUACUGAGGAUAUGGAGAACUUCUUAGUGGGAGGGAGAGAGCUGAAGCCCUAUCCUCCCCAUGGAUACAUAUCCUUUGUUUUCAGUGUCUGGGAAAUGCCCCAGGAUUCCCUGCUGCGUUACCCUGGGAGACUAUUGCUCAAUCCCAGCAGCUGCUCUGGAGGAAGGAAAAAGCAGACAUUCUGAAUGUAUCAUACAUACAAUGCAAUAUUGAAUUGGAGGUUGCUAAUGAGCGAGAACUCUUUUAUUGUGUAGUCUACUUCCAGUGAGGUCUAGCUCUUAAUUUUCAGUGGGCGUAGCAGGAAGUACUAGUGUAAAAAAUAAAACAUAUAUAUUACUAAUACUGUUGCUAUAUAAAACAAUAUUUGGCCAAGAUGGUUAAGAUAUGAUUCAGUCCUUGUUCAUCAAGUUGCUAAAUAUUAUUCAGUGAGUGGAGUCACCAUAUGGCAUAACUGAAUUUUCUUGGGAGACUGGGUAAAAUAUUGUGUUGGAUAUAGAAUUUGGAAUUGUGCAUGUCUCUGGUGGAUAGAGUCUAGAUCAAGCUGCAGACUGCUAAUCCCAUUAAUCCCUCAGGCAAAGACUCUAAUGCACGUGGCAAAUGGAAAUGGCUUAGCCCUGCAUGUAGCACUCCACGAGGGCGAGUUUCUUCUCAGAAACUGAGGAAGGGUGGGCAGAACCACACAUCUAGACAGAUGCAAUCUUUAAAGAAAAGUGUGUGUGGGCAAGUACAGUACCAGCUGGGAAAAUCUAAAUGACUGAAACCUAUGACUCAGAAAUCUUAAAUUGCCUUAAAAUUAAUGAAGCUCUGUGGGGAUGACUCAGUUCAUUCAUGUCCUUAGCUUGCAGGCUCGAAAGCUUGCAGAAGGAGCUGUUGUCUAAAGUUUGGAAGAUCAGACUCCACAGAAGGAAUGGGUCACAUCCUUGGGGGUGGUCUGGGGUGCAUGUGCUGGAGAGCCAGGUGAGCUGGUUUGCAUCCUUCCCAGGGACCGAGUGACUUCUGGCAAGUGAAACCUCUGAGCCCUAGUUUCCAUUCCUGUAAAAUAAGAAACAGAGAUUGAAUUUCUAACUUCAUCAGCUCUGAUAUUCUGAUUACUCAAAGUCCCAGCAAGAAACAGAAUUUGCCCUGGGUGGUUUCGAUGAAGAGAUUUUAAUAAAGGGACUCCACAGAUGUGUGUGCUAGUUAAGAGAACAAACAAGGAAGAGGAAGGCACCCAGAGAUGAGUAAAAGCUUCUGCUAUUACCAUCUCCAUGGUCAAGACACCCAGGAAAAAUGGUGUUACUGGAACCCAAUGAGAACCAGAUCUCUGGUGGAGAGCCAUCCUCUACCCGACCCCCGACCCCGGAAGGAGCCAUCUUCCUGGGAGGAGGAAGCCCCUGCCAGAAACACAGUCUUAAGCAAGAAGGGAGCCAGGAAGAAGUGACCUGAAGCUUAACGUAUUUCCCUAGUGCUGCUCUUUGGAUGAGUCCAACUGGACGCCAUUCAGGAAGGGAAGAAAGCUGUCCACAGGAGUUGGCCUCAUGUGGCACAGAGAAGAGCAAAGAAGAAGGGUAGAGAGUGGGAUCUAGAGUGGGUGAAAACAGAAAAACCAGCACACGUUUUAUGCUUUUAUAAAUUUCAUUUCUGAGUUAGGGAAAAAAGCACAAUAAAUAUUUUCUCUGGAAUAGCUGAAGAAUGACUCUCAACUAACAGAGUUUCUGAGUGUAAGGACAAGGUUUUGCUUACUUCUUUAACCCAUCAAAAUCUAGCAUGAUGUUGGUGCUAUGGUAAAUAAUCAGGGAAUAUUUAUUGAAUUAGAGGCUGGUCACAAAUAAACGUUUAUAAACAUCUGCAUGUGUAUAGAGCAUGAUGCAUGGUACAUGUGAAGUGAAAAUCUGUUGAACAAAUAAUGUGUAAGAUUCAAAACAAACUAUGUAAAUCUUUCAAAUGAAAACUUCUGUAAACCUCAGACAAAUACUUGGCAUUUUAGUUCUAGGAGUCAUUUUGAAUGUGAUUUAUAGUUGUCAUUGCACAAUGUGUAAAUUUCUUGGACUAUGAAAAUGGGGUCUAAAAUGUGAAGUAAUAAAUAAGCAAGGAGGGACUUAAAAGAGACAUUUUCUACCUAUUGUUACUGUUCAGAAAUUAUACAAGCAGGAGUGCUCACAAAAGUAGAAUGUUCAGCAUAUUCAGACAUACAUGAAAUCACCUCUGACAUGUGGAUGUACUAACAGAGGGAUGCUAUUUACAGUCAGGCAGGCCAGGAAUGCACACCUAGCUAUAGGAUCUCUCAGUAUUCUGACUUGAGACAAGUACUUGAACCUGUGAACCUCAGUUUCCUUUUAAUCCCUGCCUCAGGAUCCAUGUGAGGGCUGAAUGAGAUGAUAUGUGUCACAUUCCUAGUAAAGAGCCUGGCAUGUCAUAGAUGUCCAUCACUUUGUUCCAUCUUUCUUGUGGGGUCACUGAUUUUCUUGGAGUUGACAUAAGGUGUAAGACCAAGGGGUCACUGAUUUUCUUGGAGUUUAUAUAAGGGGUAAGACAAAGGGGUCAUUGAUUUUCUCAGAAUUGAUGUAAGGUGUAAAAACAGUCACUUCUUUUGCUAGAGGGGAUUCUCUGCAUGACAGAAGCACAAGAAAUGGUGAAAGUUACAGAACACAUCCAAACUAUCAUUAUGUUUCAUGUGUAGGAACUGAUGUUCACCUGUGUUGCCUUAGCAUGUGGAGGAGCACCGUAUGUAUGUGUCACUAAUUCUUCUCUUCAGUAUUCACCUAGCUCAUAUGACAGGCAGUGCUGUUUGUAUAAGCUGCAGCCAUUCUCCCAUCUACGAAUGGUCAAAGCCAAUUCUCUCUAUAGAAGCUGAAAUGCCAGAUACUUAUGUUUCCAGCCUUCCAUGCAAAUAAGCAAGGCAAUAUGAUACAAUCCUGGCCAAUGGAACUUAGGGAAAUUCUAUCUGGGAAACGUUGGGGUAAGAUUUUCCUCUCCAGUAGAAGUGAGGGGUUCGUGGGGAGAAGCCCAUUCCUGCUCUGUAUAUUAUCAUGGAGGCUAUGAUGCCUAAGGCUUUGGCAGCAUCUUGAGACCACAAAGGGAAGCCAGGAGAACUGAAGAGAUGUUGCCCAGAGAUCUAGUGUAAUUGAGGUGCGAAAUACCAGAUUCCUAUCUCGAGAAUUUUUGUGUUUAGAGACUCAUUUACAAACACUGAUUGUUUAGGCCACAUGUAGACAUGUAUUCUGUUACGUGCAGCUGAAAGCAUGCCAACUAAAAACCUAUUUUCAGAUUUCUUCUGGGGAAAUAAUUGAGUUCUUAUGUUUCUGACUCUUCUCUCCAGCAGGUCAUUAAAAGCCUAGAGUCCAGAAACUUCGUUAGACAUUUUGAAUUCCUCCAUCCAUUUACUUAUUCAUCCAUUCAAUCAUUCAUUAUUUAUUCAAUCAAUUCAAUAUGUAUUCAUCCAGUAUGUGCCAAUUCUUUUUUCCACUAAUUGACUUUUGUGAGCUUUUAGAAUCCUGCUCUAGCAUCAUGACCUUGAGGAAGUCUUCCUGGACGCCCACUUUCAGCUAAACAACCUUUCUCUGUGCAUACUUAACAGUCACACGUAACAUCUUUGGGGGGACCUCUCAUGUUAUAUUGAAAUAAUUUACCUGUAUAUCUUUCCAACCACAGUGUACUUUUUUUAAAUGCAGAGACUAAUUAGUAGUCCACUUCCCUCCUUCCUUCCUUCCUUCCUUCCCCUUCUCCUUUUUCUCCCCCUUCUCCUUCUCCUGAUCCUCCUCUUCUUCCUUAAGUUUGCAUUAUAGCAAACUUCUUAGCUAUCAAUGAGUAUUCAAAACUCUUUGUAGACCAGACAGAAUUAACGGACAGAGACUAUGCCUUUUAGCUUUGCAAUCCUAGUGCAUGACCCAGAGAAAGUGCUUUGUAAGUGUUUGCUGAAUAAAAAAUAAUUGUAAUUCAGGAGAAUAUAUUUUAUUGAAAUGACCAACUGGACCUAAGAAUCAUUUUGGAAAUGGGUCAGUGCCAUCUUAUGUAGCAUUAGGUAAUAGUGGUGUAUCACAAAUAUGUAUUAAAUAAAUAAUUUAUGCCCAUAUUGCAUCCAGAAUUUCAAAUGUAAAAUUUUGUGUGGUGUGAAGUAUGGCUCCAUCCUGAUUUUUUUUCCAAAUUGGCUACUUAAUAUCUCUGCCUUAUUUUGUGAAUAUUCCCUCCCUGACAUUUUGAAAUAUCAACUUCAUCAUAUACAAAGUAGUCAUAAUAAGUGGGUAAUUUUUUGGAAUCUUCAGUUGCCUUUCAGUUGCCUUGCAGCUCACACAGUAUCUAUAACUGUGUAUACAUUUGUCUUCCUUUUAUUUUAGAUCUUUUUCAAUAAUUUUUAGACAUUUAACUAUCCAGAUAAACUUUGGGCUCAAAUGUUAAGCUUCAUAAAUAUCUCAAAAUUCUCUCUUAAAGUUGAGGUAAUAUUUAUAGAUUAUGCCAUGCAAUAUGGCACAGCAAAUAAAAGCACUGUUUUGCAGUCCACUGCCCAGAACUAAAAUAAUGACUUUAUAACUUUUUAGCCUAUGAUUUUUGCCUAGUCAAUGAAUCAGUUUCUUCAUAUGCAAAAAUGAAAAUAAUAUCUAUGCAUAGAGUUGCUAGUUAGAUUAAAAUAAGGAAAUUCAUAUAAAAUAUUGAUCCUAGUGUCUGGCACAAGGAAAGUAUGUAACAGGGAUAAUUAGAUAUUUAAUGUCCCAGCAUUAUUCUAGUAACUUUUCACAAUCACAUCAGACUUGGGUAGAGAAGAGAAGUGUUUAUCUUGACUUUUCCAUUCAGUUGUUUUCAGGAGUAAAACUUGGAAAAUGUAGCUCAUUUUAUUUAUUUGUCUAUAUAUAUAUAAGGAGAAUUAUAACAUUGGUCUGUCCUACUCACAGGUGACUUAAAAAAUCCAAGGAAGUGAUAGAUGUAGAAAUGUUUUCUCCAAUGAAAAGGAUCACAACUGUAUGAAAACAGUAAUUACAAUGCUCACAACUGUUGAGAUUGUACCUAGAAGGUCAAGUCUUGAGGGUUGCAUGAAGGAAUUGCUACUGGAUUUUGAUCUUUAAAUGGCCCUCUUUAGUUGCAAUAUAUUUGGGAUUAUAGAAUAUAAAACACCUUUGGAAUAUGUAUGUUUUAUAACUAGGAAAUAUGUCUUAGGAUCCAAAGACAGACAUAACUUAUGCAUUGCCACAUUAAAUUGACCUCAGCAUCCUCAUCUGCGGUAUUUUUUAAAAGGUAUUAACCUUGAAGCAUUAAUGGUUAAAUCUCCAAUAAAGAUGCAAAUGAUUAAUAGAA